rnacentral:rRNA from 1 species
GAUGAACGCUGGCGGCGUGCCUAAUACAUGCAAGUCGAGCGAACAGACGAGGAGCUUGCUCCUCUGACGUUAGCGGCGGACGGGUGAGUAACACGUGGAUAACCUACCUAUAAGACUGGGAUAACUUCGGGAAACCGGAGCUAAUACCGGAUAAUAUAUUGAACCGCAUGGUUCAAUAGUGAAAGACGGUUUUGCUGUACCUUAUAGAUGUAUCCCCGCCGCAUUAGCUAGUUGGUAAGGUAAAGGCUUACCAAGGCAACGAUGCGUAGCCGACCUGAGAGGGUGAUCGGCCACACUGGAACUGAGACACGGUCCAGACUCCUACGGGAGGCAGCAGUAGGGAAUCUUCCGCAAUGGGCGAAAGCCUGACGGAGCAACGCCGCGUGAGUGAUGAAGGUCUUCGGAUCGUAAAACUCUGUUAUUAGGGAAGAACAAAGGUGUAAGUAACUAUGCACGUCUUGACGGUACCUAAUCAAAAAGCCACGGCUAACUACGGGC